rnacentral:rRNA from 1 species
AUGAACGCUGGCGGCGUGCCUCAUACAUGCAAGUCGAGCGAACGGACGAGAAGCUUGCUUCUCUGAUGUUAGCGGCGGACGGGUGAGUAACACGUGGAUAACCUACCUAUAAGACUGGGAUAACUUCGGGAAACCGGAGCUAAUACCGGAUAAUAUUUUGAACCGCAUGGUUCAAAAGUGAAAGACGGUCUUGCUGUCACUUAUAGAUGGAUCCGCGCUGCAUUAGCUAGUUGGUAAGGUAACGGCUUACCAAGGCAACGAUGCAUAGCCGACCUGAGGGGGUGAUCGGCCACACUGGAACUGAGACACGGUCCAGACUCCUACGGGAGGCAGCAGUAGGGAAUCUUCCGCAAUGGGCGAAAGCCUGACGGAGCAACGCCGCGUGAGUGAUGAAGGUCUUCGGAUCGUAAAACUCUGUUAUUAGGGAAGAACAUAUGUGUAAGUAACUGUGCACAUCUUGACGGUACCUAAUCAGAAAGCCACGGCUAACUACGUG